UCCUACGGGAGGCAGCAGUGGGGAAUUUUGGACAAUGGGCGAAAGCCUGAUCCAGCAAUGCCGCGUGUGUGAAGAAGGCCUUCGGGUUGUAAAGCACUUUUGUCCGGAAAGAAAUCCUUGGCUUUAAUACAGUCGGGGGAUGACGGUACCGGAAGAAUAAGCACCGGCUAACUACGUGCCAGCAGCCGCGGUAAUACGUAGGGUGCGAGCGUUAAUCGGAAUUACUGGGCGUAAAGCGUGCGCAGGCGGUUUGCUAAGACCGAUGUGAAAUCCCCGGGCUCAACCUGGGAACUGCAUUGGUGACUGGCAGGCUAGAGUAUGGCAGAGGGGGGUAGAAUUCCACGUGUAGCAGUGAAAUGCGUAGAGAUGUGGAGGAAUACCGAUGGCGAAGGCAGCCCCCUGGGCCAAUACUGACGCUC
rnacentral:rRNA from 1 species